rnacentral:rRNA from 1 species
AUUGAACGCUGGCGGCAUGCCUAACACAUGCAAGUCGAACGGGGCGCUUCGGCGCCUAGUGGCGGACGGGUGAGUAAAGCGUAGGAAUCUGCCUUGUAGUGGGGGACAACCUGGGGAAACUCAGGCUAAUACCGCAUACGCUCGCGAGAGGAAAGCGGGGGAUCUUCGGACCUCGCGCCGCAAGAAGAGCCUACGUCCGAUUAGCUAGUUGGUAGGGUAAAAGCCUACCAAGGCGACGAUCGGUAGCUGGUCUGAGAGGAUGAUCAGCCACACUGGGACUGAGACACGGCCCAGACUCCUACGGGAGGCAGCAGUGGGGAAUAUUGGACAAUGGGCGCAAGCCUGAUCCAGCAAUGCCGCGUGGGUGAAGAAGGCCUGCGGGUUGUAAAGCCCUUUAAGUGGGGAGGAACGGCGGGAUGCGAACAGUGUUCUGCUCUGACGUUACCCACAGAAUAAGCACCGGCUAACUCCGUGCCAGCAGCCGCGG